rnacentral:ncRNA from 2 species
GUCGGAAUUGGCAAUGGACUCUGCCUGACCUGCAAAGGUCGAACCGCCCGCGAGGGCUGAUGAUUCCUACCUCGCC